AUGGAAAUCAAUCACGAGGGUACCAUGUUUGAAUGUCUUUGGAGGCCACUAGUAGGAGUCUGGAGACUCCUGUGCAGCCAUGUGACUGAUGACUCUGGAGCACAUGCCUCCACUUUGUGGAACAGCUCUCCAGGAGUCUGGAGGACAAGACUUUCCCAAAAGGGCCAGACUGUAAAAACUGCAGUGGGCAUUUACCUCCAGUUCAUUUGUUACACUGGAAAUGGAAAAUUGAGUCAAGCACAUGAUUGUCACUUUUAGCCCAGCUGUACAGUUAUAGAAAACAAAAACAACAUUGAGCCUCAGCAAUGUGCAUAAAAUCUGGGCAAAGGUGAUGUAUUUUUGUAGUCCACCCCAGAAGUUAAAAUCACCCUGGUUCCCUUGACAAAAUCUGCAUGGGAUUUUUCCAUUGACUUUUGGAUUAUUGCAAAAAAUACGUUAUGUGACGAACAAAAGUUUAAGAUUCUUACAUGUUUUGUUCACCACGAUAAUCUUCACAAAUGAAGCCUUCUGAAGCCUAAAUGCAAUGAGCUAAACAGGCUAUUUAUGAACUAAACUGUGGUCACAUGCCUUCAACACCACCAUCAUGAAUCUCCUGACAACUCGUUUAGUGUUUAUUUUAAACCUGUCUGCUGUAGAUGGUUUGGUGACAACCAAUGUAGUCUCAUUUAUCCACUUGUUAGCAAGUCAUUUUUUCCAAGACACAUUAAAGCAUAAAAAACACACAAGGAAUCUUACUGAUGUAUUUUAUGUCACAGAAUAAAACGUAAAUAUCAGCUUUAGAAUUGGAAAUGGAAGUGCUAAAAUGCAAACUUGUUUCCAGCCUUUGGCUUAUAACCACAGCUUCCUUGCAGCACUUUACACAUGGCAUAGCUUAGAUAUUCUUGUGUCUUGUCAGUUUCCAUUUCAGCCAAAGAUCUUUUUGUUGUUAAAAACCUGCCUUAAGACUGAAGUCUUUAUAAAUUUUAUUUUGUUUUCCUUUGUUUUCUUUUGUUUUAUGCUUUAAGGUAAGUUUGUAUCUGUCUAAUUAAAGCACUUUGGUCAAAACUCUUUUUGGGUUCUGAUAUUUAUGUUUUUUGGAAUACAAUUUUUUGCCACUUUUUUUUCAGCAGAUUUUUAUGUAAAUUGUUUUUGGACAAUUUUUUCCUUUGUUAAAUGAAUGUAUUAAGAAUGUAUUUUUUCCACAAAUUUAAUAAAAAUGUAAGUGGCAUUUGUAAUAUGUUUAUUUUAUGUAUUCAUA
rnacentral:lncRNA from 12 species